rnacentral:rRNA from 1 species
UACGGAAGGAUGCAAGCGUUAUCCGGAUUUAUUGGGUUAAAGGGAGCGUAGGCGGUCUUAUAAGUCAGUGGUGAAAUCCUAUCGCUUAACGAUAGACGUGCCAUUGAUACUGUAGGACUUGAGUACAGAUGCCGUUGGCGGAAUGUGUCAUGUAGCGGUGAAAUGCAUAGAUAUGACACAGAACACCGAUUGCGAAGGCAGCUGACGAAACUGUAACUGACGCUGAGGCUCGAAAGCGUGGGGAGUCAAA